UACGAAGGGGGCUAGCGUUGCUCGGAAUCACUGGGCGUAAAGGGUGCGUAGGCGGGUCUUUAAGUCAGGGGGGAAAUCCUGGAGCUCAACUCCAGAACUGCCUUUGAUACUGAAGAUCUUGAGUUCGGGAGAGGUGAGUGGAACUGCGAGUGUAGAGGUGAAAUUCGUAGAUAUUCGGAAGAACACCAGUGGCGAAGGCGGCUCACUGGUCCGGUACUGACGCUGAUGUGCGAAAGCGUGGGGAGCAAACAGG
rnacentral:rRNA from 1 species